GAGGGUAGAGCUCAGUGGUAGAGCACGUGCUUAGCAUGCAGGAGGUCCUGGGUUCCAUCCCCAGUACCUCUA
rnacentral:tRNA from 1 species